rnacentral:rRNA from 1 species
GGAGUAUGGACCGUGUCUCAGUUCCAUUGUGGGGGACCUUCCUCUCAGAACCCCUAGACAUCGUCGGCACGGUGGGCCGUUACCCCGCCGUCUACCUAAUGUCACGCGAGCCAAUCCGUGACCACCGGAGUUUUCAAUAUUCCGACCAUGAAGCCAAAUAUGUUAUGGGGGAUUAGGCGACGUUUCCAUCGGUUAUCCCCCGGUCACGGGCAUGUCGGCUCACGCGUUACGCACCCUUGCGCCGGUCGCCGCCAGAAGUAUUGCUACUCCCGCGCUGCCCCUCGACUUGCAUGUGUUAAGCCUGCCGCUAGCGUUCAUC